AUUGCCAGGAGUUUCAUCAUG
rnacentral:miRNA from 1 species